CCUACGGGUGGCAGCAGUGGGGAAUAUUGCACAAUGGGGGAAACCCUGAUGCAGCGACGCCGCGUGAAGGAAGAAGUAUUUCGGUAUGUAAACUUCUAUCAGCAGGGAAGAAAAUGACGGUACCUGACUAAGAAGCCCCGGCUAACUACGUGCCAGCAGCCGCGGGAAUACGUAGGGGGCAAGCGUUAUCCGGAUUUAAUGGGUGAAAAGGGAGCGUAGGCGGUUUAGCAAGUCAGAAGUGAAAGCCCGGGGCUCAACUCCGGGACUGCUUUUGAAACUGUUGAACUAGAUUGCCGGAGAGGUAAGUGGAAUUCCUAGUGUAGCGGUGAAAUGCGUAGAUAUUAGGAGGAACACCAGUGGCGAAGGCGGCUUACUGGACUGUAAAUGACGCUGAGGCUCGAAAGCGUGGGGAGCAAACAGGAUUAGAUACCCUUGUAAUC
rnacentral:rRNA from 1 species